AGGGUGGGGUGAACAGUGUCAAUGAGCAAUGGAUGGAGUAAGGAGACAGGUAUUCAAAAUAAUCCACUGGUUUUUGGCAAAUUAGCUAGCUGGUCAAAUUUUCACAGUACCAGGAUAUAAGUCAAGUGUGUCAUCUUGUAAUUAAAUGAAGAAAGUGUGACCUGUUCCAAUGAUGGAAGUGUCAACAUUGCAACUUCCUUAAGGAUUUCCAAAGGGUAAACUUCAUACUCCACAAAAUUUAAUCUCAUAGCACGAAGUCACGUGGGCUUUCUGAAAUGGCUAAAGACUUGCUGUGUUCACUGAUGAAUCUCCAGUGCCAAAAACAGUGCCUGGCACACAUAUAGGUGCUCAGUUAUCAUUUUCAUUCUGAAGCUGUUUUGCAUCCAACAUGGGAAGGCGAAUUCCAUCU